GUAACAGGAAGAAGCUUGCUUCUUUGCUGACGAGUGGCGGACGGGUGAGUAAUGUCUGGAAACUGCCUGAUGGAGGGGGAUAACUACUGGAAACGGUAGCUAAUACCGCAUAACGUCGCAAGACCAAAGAGGGGGACCUUCGGGCCUCUUGCCAUCGGAUGUGCCCAGAUGGGAUUAGCUAGUAGGUGGGGUAACGGCUCACCUAGGCGACGAUCCCUAGCUGGUCUGAGAGGAUGACCAGCCACACUGGAACUGAGACACGGUCCAGACUCCUACGGGAGGCAGCAGUGGGGAAUAUUGCACAAUGGGCGCAAGCCUGAUGCAGCCAUGCCGCGUGUAUGAAGAAGGCCUUCGGGUUGUAAAGUACUUUCAGCGGGGAGGAAGGGAGUAAAGUUAAUACCUUUGCUCAUUGACGUUACCCGCAGAAGAAGCACCGGCUAACUCCGUGCCAGCAGCCGCGGUAAUACGGAGGGUGCAAGCGUUAAUCGGAAUUACUGGGCGUAAAGCGCACGCAGGCGGUUUGUUAAGUCAGAUGUGAAAUCCCCGGGCUCAACCUGGGAACUGCAUCUGAUACUGGCAAGCUUGAGUCUCGUAGAGGGGGGUAGAAUUCCAGGUGUAGCGGUGAAAUGCGUAGAGAUCUGGAGGAAUACCGGUGGCGAA
rnacentral:rRNA from 1 species